AUUGAACGCUGGCGGCAGGCCUAACACAUGCAAGUCGAACGGUAACAGGAAACAGCUUGCUGUUUCGCUGACGAGUGGCGGACGGGUGAGUAAUGUCUGGGAAACUGCCUGAUGGAGGGGGAUAACUACUGGAAACGGUAGCUAAUACCGCAUAACGUCGCAAGACCAAAGAGGGGGACCCUCGGGCCUCUUGCCAUCGGAUGUGCCCAGAUGGGAUUAGCUUGUUGGUGGGGUAACGGCUCACCAAGGCGACGAUCCCUAGCUGGUCUGAGAGGAUGACCAGCCACACUGGAACUGAGACACGGUCCAGACUCCUACGGGAGGCAGCAGUGGGGAAUAUUGCACAAUGGGCGCAAGCCUGAUGCAGCCAUGCCGCGUGUAUGAAGAAGGCCUUCGGGUUGUAAAGUACUUUCAUCGGGGAGGAAGGGAGUAAAGUUAAUACCUUUGCUUAUUGACGUUACCCGCAGAAGAAGCACCGGCUAACUCCGUG
rnacentral:rRNA from 1 species